rnacentral:rRNA from 1 species
GGAAAUACGGAUAGGGACCAGGGAUUGGUUUAUUGGAAGGUGGAUUUGUAAGUAAUUAUUUUUAUAGUAUUAAUAAAUGAAGGGUGGAAUAACAUGUGUACAUAUUGCCCGUCGCUCUCGUUAUUUUUGAGAUAAGUCGUAACAUAGUUGAUGAACUGGAAAGUGUAUCUUUUUGA